UACGUAGGGUGCGAGCGUUGUCCGGAAUUAUUGGGCGUAAAGGGCUCGUAGGCGGUUUGUCGCGUCGGGAGUGAAAACCCAGGGCUUAACUCUGGCUUGCUUUCGAUACGGGCAGACUAGAGGUAUGCAGGGGAGAACGGAAUUCCUGGUGUAGCGGUGAAAUGCGCAGAUAUCAGGAGGAACACCGGUGGCGAAGGCGGUUCUCUGGGCAUUACCUGACGCUGAGGAGCGAAAGUGUGGGGAGCGAACAGG
rnacentral:rRNA from 1 species